AUGAACGCUGGCGGCGUGCCUAAUACAUGCAAGUCGAGCGAACGGACGAGAAGCUUGCUUCUCUGAUGUUAGCGGCGGACGGGUGAGUAACACGUGGAUAACCUACCUAUAAGACUGGGAUAACUUCGGGAAACCGGAGCUAAUACCGGAUAAUAUUUUGAACCGCAUGGUUCAAAAGUGAAAGACGGUCUUGCUGUCACUUAUAGAUGGAUCCGCGCUGCAUUAGCUAGUUGGUAAGGUAACGGCUUACCAAGGCAACGAUGCAUAGCCGACCUGAGAGGGGGGUGGAACAAACUGGAAGUGAGGCACGGUGCGAAGACAGACGGGAGGCAGACGUGGGGAAAAUGACGCAGUGGGCGAAAGCAUAACACAGGAAUAACGGGAAAGAGAUGAAGAGCAUCGGAUGGUAAAAAUCUGUUGGUUAGGAAGAAAAAAUGCGGAAGCAACUUGCGACACCUUGGAGGUAACUAAAGAGAAAGGCACAACAAAGUACAGG
rnacentral:rRNA from 1 species